rnacentral:rRNA from 1 species
AGCAGCCGCGGUAAUUCCAGCUCCAAUAGCGUAUAUUAAAGUUGUUGCAGUUAAAAAGCUCGUAGUUGAAUUUCGGGAUCGGUACGCUGGUCAUGCCUUUGGUAUGCACUGGUGUCACUGGUUUCUCCCUUCUGAAGAUCCGUGAUGUCAUUAAUUUGGUGUCGCGGGGAAUCAGGACUGUUACUUUGAAAAAUUAGAGUGUUUAAAGCAGGCUCACGCUUGAAUACAUUAGCAUGGAAUAAUGAAAUAGGACGUUUGACCCUUAUUUUGUUGGUUUCUAGGAUCGACGUAAUGAUUAAUAGGGAUAGUUGGGGGCAUUAGUAUUCAAUUGUCAG